rnacentral:rRNA from 2 species
UUAGUGGAAGCGUCUGGAAAGGCGCGCGAUACAGGGUGACAGCCCCGUACACAAAAGCGCAUGUGCUGUGAGCUCGAUGAGUAGGGCGGGACACGUGGUAUCCUGUCUGAAUAUGGGGGGACCAUCCUCCAAGGCUAAAUACUCCUGACUGACCGAUAGUGAACCAGUACCGUGAGGGAAAGGCGAAAAGAACCCCGGCGAGGGGAGUGAAAAAGAACCUGAAACCGUGUACGUACAAGCAGUGGGAGCACCCUUUGGGGUGUGACUGCGUACCUUUUGUAUAAUGGGUCAGCGACUUAUAUUCUGUAGCAAGGUUAACCGUAUAGGGGAGCCGGAGGGAAACCGAGUCUUAACCGGGCGUUAAGUUGCAGGGUAUAGACCCGAAACCCGGUGAUCUAGCCAUGGGCAGGUUGAAGGUUGGGUAACACUAACUGGAGGACCGAACCGACUAAUGUUGAAAAAUUAGCGGAUGACCUGUGGCUGGGGGUGAAAGGCCAAUCAAACCGGGAGAUAGCUGGUUCUCCCCGAAAGCUAUUUAGGUAGCGCCUCGUGAACUCAUCUCCGGGGGUAGAGCACUGUUUCGGCUAGGGGGCCAUCCCGGCUUACCAACCCGAUGCAAACUGCGAAUACCGGAGAAUGUUAUCACGGGAGACACACGGCGGGUGCUAACGUCCGUCGUGAAGAGGGAAACAACCCAGACCGCCAGCUAAGGUCCCAAAGUCAUGGUUAAGUGGGAAACGAUGUGGGAAGGCCCAGACAGCCAGGAUGUUGGCUUAGAAGCAGCCAUCAUUUAAAGAAAGCGUA